rnacentral:lncRNA from 1 species
AAGGGCUGCACCCAUGGCAUAUGGAAGUUUCCAGAUUAGGGGUCCAGUCAAAGCUGCAGCUGCCGGCCUCCACCACAGCCACAGCAACACGGGAUUUGAGCCACUUCUGCAACAUAUACCACAGUCACAGCAACGCCGGAUCCUUAACUCACUGAACGAGGCCAGGGAUCGAACCCACGUCCUCAUGAAUACUAGUCGGGUUCGUUACUGCUGAGCCACCAUGGGAACUCCAGGCAUCAUCUUUUUCAUAGCCUAGUCUUUGGGAAAUAUACUGUGGAGGACGGCUGUAUACAGGGUAUAGCUUCUAAAUGCUCAUCAUGAACUAGACCUUGAGUUUUCUCCUGAUGGAUGGAGGAGAGGAAGGACAAGGGCUGCUGUGGGUUCAGCACAUUGAUCCCCAGACUCAGAAGUCAGGGGCCACAUGUUUUUCAUCCUUUGCUAAUGGAGGGCCGUGUUUCGUUUCAUUCGGGACCUGCGUAAGUACUGUCUACUGGGCUUUGGAAGAAUAAGGUCACUUGUUUCCUGUCUUUUUUAGUGUGAGAGACCAGACUUGCUUUGGACAAAGGGCAAAUGCAACUUCAAGACAUGGUAUGCAAUUUCCUUCCUCUCUCCAUCUUCCUUCCUUUCUUUGCUUCCUUCCUCCCUCCCUCCCUCCCUCUCUCUCUCUCUCUCUCUCUUUCUUUCUUUCUUUCUUUCUUCUGGCCAUGCCCUCUGUAGUUCCUGGGCCAGGGAUCAAACCUGUGCCACAGCAGGGAUCCUUCCAGUUCCACCAGGGAGCUCCUGCAGUUUAUGUUCUCCAACACAGCUCUUGCUGGAUUUCCCCUCCCAUCACACUUGGGCAGCAGGAUCCUGUGGUGCCAGGGAGUAUGAUUCGACUCAGGUGUAUCAAGCACCUGCUAUGUUCCAGGUCCUAUGAGAUGUGCUUGAGAUAAAGGAGUAUGUGAGACACAGACCCUGCCCAUAGGAACUGACAGCUCAGGGUGUGAAACUGACACGUGGUUACACAUGUGGUAAACAGUGUGCGAUGAAGGCAGAAGUCUGUACAGAGCCCAGAGCAGAGAGAUGCCAUCCUAUUGGGAUCUACUGGAGAGAUCUUCUCUCCUGGUCCCUGUCCUGUUUGGAGACUGGAUUCAAAAUUCUCAGUGUAAGGGGUGACUUCUGUUUGCUUCCUGUUUUUGUAAGCCCUUCCCAUUUUACAUUAAACAUUUUUUUUUAUUAUUUUAUUGGGUGUUCCUGUUGUGGCUCAGCGGUUAACAAACCCAACUAGUAUCUAGGAGGAUGCAGGUUCAACCCCUGGCCUUGCUCAGUGGGUUAAGAGUCCAGCGUUGCUGUGAGCUGUGGUGUAGGUCACAGACAUGGCUCGGAUCCCACGCUGCUGUGGCUGUGGCCAGCGGCUACAUCUCUGAUUCACCCCCUAACCUGGGAACCUCCACAUGCCACAAGUGCAGCCUAAAAAGAAAAAAACAAUUUUUUUAAAUUUUAUUUUUAUUUCUUUUGGCUACACCCAGGGCAUGUGGAAGGUCCCGGGCCAGGGCUGGAACCCACACCACAGCAGUGACCUGAGCUGCCGCAGUGACAGUGCUGGAUCCUUAACUGUCCAAGAUGAAAGCUUUAUUGGGAAAAAAGGCGUCCUGUUUCCAUAUUGUCUAUGGUUUGUUUUUCCAUUAUAAUGGCUGGAUUAAGUAGUCACCAUGGAGACCGUCUAGCUUACUGUGUCACUCAGCUUGGCUGCCAUAACUGGGUACCAUGGAUGGGGUGCCUUGAACAAUAGUACCUGUAUUUCCUCUCACUUCUGGAAGUUAGGCAUCUGAGGUCAAGAUGUUGCCUGGGCUGAUUCCUUCUGAGGCCUCUGCUUGGCUUAGACGUGGUCAUUGUUUUCCUAUUUCCUCAGUGGUCUUCCCUCUGUAACUGUGUCCUGAUCUUAGGAAGACACCCAUCCUAUUGGAUUAGUGCCCACCUGAAUGAGCUCAUUUCAACCUAACUGCUUCUUUAAGGAUCCUGUCUCCAAAUAUAGUCAUAGUCAGAACACAUCAAUUUUAGGGGACCCAGUUCAGCCCAUACUCCUAAUACAGCCUAAAAUAUUUACUAUCUCCUCUUCAAAGAAAGAUUUGCCCACUCGGGUCCAUGCUGUGGCUCAAUGAUUUGGUGUCAUCUGCCUGUCCUCUUUCUUCUCCCCUCCAUCAGCACACGUCCACUUAGUUUUUUGGUUUAUUUUCUUGUUUUAGCUUUUUAGGGCUGCACAUAAGGCAUAUGGAAAUUCCCAGGCUGGCAGUCGACUUAGGGGCUGUAGCUGCCAGUCUACAGCACAGCCACAGCCACACAGGAUCUGAGCCGAAUCUGUGACCUGCACCACAGCUCAUGGCAACACUGGAUCCCCCACCCACUGAGGCCAGGGAUCGAACCUGCAUCCUCAUGGAUAUUAGCUGGGUUCGUUUCUGCUGCAUCACAAUGGGAACUCCCACAUCCAUCUGUCCAUCCAUCUGUCCAUCCAUCCAUCCAUGGUUUUUGGCCACCAUGGCGUCCUCUGCUCCAAGAUUUGUUCAUAGAGGAUGCAGAACUCUUGCCAGCAAUUCCUGUAGGUUGAUCUGGGCUUUCGUCUCUAUCCAUGGGUGAUGUUCCAGUGAUUUCUCAGUUCCACCAUCUCACUCUCAAACAUAGUUUCCUCUAGUCCCUUUUACUCAACUCCAGGUGCUGGUUGCACGUCCCACAGCGUGGAUAUUCGGGAGAAACCUUUGAAGGGCUUCUCAUUUGAUCAUAAUUGUAGAUCGAGAAAUGGAAUCUCACUCAUUAAGCUCUGAGAGAGCUCUAUAAGCAAUUUCAUUUUUAAAUGGCUCUUUGCUUAACAAAUUUACUCCACCUGGGAUACUUUAAAUGUUUUGGUGGCCCAUAGAAAUGUGACACAAUGUACUGCUGGGGCCUCUAAUUCAUCUCUAGGAACAGGGGGUUCUGUGACGCUCACCAUGGAGUCACUUAAGAAAGCUACUGCCUGGUGCAACGAGGAAUGCAUUUUUACCUUCUUGCAAAGUGCUGAAAUUGUGUACUUUAUGAUCAAGACAAUGGAGAGAUUAUGAAGCUGGUGCAAAUGACUCCCGCAGCCCCGCACCUUCUCCCCCGUUGUCAGGGAGCUGUGUUACUUUACACUUUUCCUCAUAGUGUUUCUUUCUCAAAAUUGAAGAUCACUGAUCUCUUUGGAAGCAAAGUGCUUGAGAAAAUAUACAGGAAGAGGCUUUUUGUUUUUUCUUCUUCCUGUGGUUCCAUUGCAUGUUGUGUGGUUUUAGAGGCACUUCCUUUGGUUGCUCCAAGCAGGGAGUUUCCUCAAAACCAGAGAGCUUGCUUUUGGAAGAGCUCUAAGAUCAUAAUCUGAGUGCUGCAAAAGCAUCUCCUGUUACUGCUCCCUUUUUGGUUCUUACUAUGGGGGUGAUGACCCUUCUCGCAGAACAGAGAGAAAUAUCAGAUAUUCACCACCAUGUGGUCUUUCAACAUUUGGAAAAGGAAAAAAAGAAAAAAAAA